GAUUUAAUAAAAAAAAAAAGAAGGAAAAGAUCCAGUGCUAUAGUUGGAAUGAUACAGAGAAGAUAGCAUGGACUCUGCUCUAGAUGACAUGCAAAUUCGUGACGUGUUCCUUAUUUGU
rnacentral:snRNA from 1 species